UCAAAGAUGAAUAUCACGUUCUGAAACUGUUUUUUUUUUUCUAUUUCACGUUAGAUGAAUAUUUCAUCUGUCUCUUUUUCAGUUUUCUUUCUUAAUCUCUAUUGCUCUGUACUUUGAGUUUUUCUCUUUCUAUUGAGAUCUUCUACCAAUACCAAUAAAUUCUAUACAAGUUUAUGAUCAUGCUUUGUUAAGAUAUGGUUUCUUCUUGGUUUCUAUUUACAAUCUCUUAAUUGUUUAUUUCAGGUUAAAAUGCCACUUGAGUAAAUUUUUUAUAGCUUUAACAGCAACAAGGAUAAUGAUAGAAGGAAGAAGACAAAAGAAAAACAAGGUUUUAACAAGAAAGAAUCAUUAUGCUGCCAACAGACGAACAAGAAAUAAAAGCCUAUCCCACAGCUAACAAAUAAUGAUCAUUUUGGAAAUACAACAAAAGAACUCAACAUUCUAUCAAGGAAAAAGAUUAUCAACAACUAUAGUGGUGCAAAUUGGCCGUUCAUGCUCCUCAGACGGUGGUCACGCGACUUCUCUGUUUUUGGGAGGCAGGCUCACUGUGGGACCAGCUCCAAUACCACUUGAGCUCUUUAGGUUCCAUAGUUACGAGCGGUUACAGCCUUACAGGCUCUGGCAACACAAACACUGAACAUCAUAGGGGAAGUCAGUCUCAUCAAGACAACCUCCAAUGACCCUGCUCACUCCUGAGACAAUUCAAUGCAUUAUGGCAAACAUUUGUAUUGAUGGAUCUGCAUUCAUUCAUCUAGAUGCUUACUUUUCAGUCCCUGCUCUGAUGGUGAAGCUAGCUACAACACACACUAGCAUGAUAUGUGGUGCAGUCCCCAUGAACCAAACGUCUCCACCAACUGAAACCAUAACAACUGCACAAGCCACUGUUGGCAAUAUCUCAGCAACGGAACUGACAUGUUUCAGCAGCAGAGAGGGCACUCAAGAAACCACGCAAGGCUUAGCUGUUUAUGUUACCCAAUUUGAUUUAUACAAUAUUGACAGAUCCAUAGACAGAUCCAUACCACUUUUUUUAUUUCGGUUCAGUUUGUUUUAAUUGAUUCAUGUAUAUUGUAUUAAACAUCACAAAAUGAUAGUAAUA